UACGUAGGUGGCAAGCGUUGUUCGGAAUUAUUGGGCGUAAAGGGCGCGUAGGCGGUUUGUUAAGUCGGUUGUGAAAGCCCGGGGCUCAACCCCGGAGGGUCGACCGAUACUGGCAGGCUAGAGUACAGAAGAGGUAACUGGAAUUCCCGGUGUAGCGGUGAAAUGCGCAGAUAUCGGGAGGAACACCGGUGGCGAAGGCGGUUCUCUGGGCCUUACCUGACGCUGAGGAGCGAAAGCGUGGGGAGCGAACAGG
rnacentral:rRNA from 1 species